UACGAAGGGGGGCUAGCGUUACUCGGAUUGACUGGGCGUAAAGGGCGCGUAGGCGGAUGGUACAGUCAGACGUGAAAUUCCUGGGCUCAACCUGGGGGCUGCGUUUGAUACGUGCUGUCUGGAGUUCGGAAGAGGGUCGUGGAAUUCCCAGUGUAGAGGUGAAAUUCGUAGAUAUUGGGAAGAACACCGGUGGCGAAGGCGGCGACCUGGUCCGAUACUGACGCUGAGGUGCGAAAGCGUGGGGAGCAAACAGG
rnacentral:rRNA from 1 species